CCUACGGGAGGCAGCAGUGGGGAAUAUUGGGCAAUGGAGGAAACUCUGACCCAGCGACGCCGCGUGCGGGAUGAAGGCCUUCGGGUUGUAAACCGCUUUCAGUAGGGAAGAAGCGAAAGUGACGGUACCUACAAAAGAAGCACCGGCUAACUAUGUGCCAGCAGCCGCGGUAAUACAUAGGGUGCAAGCGUUGUCCGGAAUUAUUGGGCGUAAAGAGCUCGUAGGUCGUUUGUUACGUCGGAUGUGAAAACCUGAGGCUCAACCUCAGGCCUGCAUUCGAUACGGGCAAACUAGAGUUUGGUAGGGGAGACUGGAAUUCCUGGUGUAGCGGUGGAAUGCGCAGAUAUCAGGAGGAACACCAAUGGCGAAGGCAGGUCUCUGGGCCAAUACUGACACUGAGGAGCGAAAGUCUGGGGAGCGAACAGGAUUAGAUACCCUGGUAGUCCAGACCGUAAACGGUGGGCACUAGUUGUGGGAACCUUCCACGGUUUCUGCGACGCAGCUAACGCAUUAAGUGCCCCGCCUGGGGAGUACGAUCGCAAGAUUAAAACCUUAAAGUAGUAGUAGGCGNGAGAGAGCGACGAGCCACACGGAGGUAGAG
rnacentral:rRNA from 1 species